ACAGUUCAAUAUUGAUCGUCAGAUGUAGUUGCUGGCAUUUGCAAACUCAGUUGGAAACUUGGGAGAUUUUCCCUUAUAAAUAACAUGAGUAUAUAUUAUCUAUUUGGAGAGAUCAAACCCCAAAACAUACAAACACAAGCACUAAGGGUAAAUCUAAGAAAAGUAAAAGAAAAGCUUUGCGCUUGAUAAUGAUUUAAUACAAACAAGAAUCGAACUUAUAUUUACCACAUUCUGCGUUUUUUUCUGAAAAAACGAAACCAACUCAACAUAACCCAUUGAAACAUUUCAUGAAAUACCUGGCAGGCAAUACUUUACAUUUUGGAGAGAUUCACAUACAUAUCAUAAAAUCUCUUGAUACAUUAAUGAAACAGAGGGAUCGAUCAAACCCCAAAACAUACAAACACAAGCACUAAGGGAAGAUCUGACAAAAGUAAAAGAAAAGCUUUGCGCUUGAUAAUGUCUUAAUACAAACCCGAAUCGAACUUAUAUUUAGCACAUUCUACGAUUUUUUCUGAAAAAACGAAACCAACUCAACAUAACCCAUUGAAACAUUUCGUGAAAUACCUGGCAAGUAAUACAUGUAAGCAAUGCCUUUGUGUUUUUA
rnacentral:lncRNA from 1 species